GGUGAGGACAAUCUGGCGGCGACAUCUGUCACCCCAUUGGUCGCCAGUGUUGAUUUGGCUAAUCUGGCUGGCUAGGCAGGUGUCCCCUUCUUCCCUCACUGCUUCACGUGUGUCCCUCCCCAAGCUAUGUGCUCGGUCGAAUAGGAUGACCAUCCCUGUUAGGGGAGGACCAGUCUUCAGUGCAGGGUAUGUGAGUAGCUGUGCUCCCCUGCUAGAACUUCCCAAACAAGCUCUCAAGGACCCAUUUUUCCCUUUCAAGUUCAAGACCAUAUUUACUCAUCUAACAUCUAGCAUCAUGUCUAG
rnacentral:snRNA from 1 species